rnacentral:lncRNA from 1 species
UAGAAAAAGGCGGACACAGAUGUCAUUCUUCUAAGGCUUCAUCGUUAGUAUACAGCCUCUCCUCAAAAUGCAUUACAAAACAUCAUGGCAAGCAUCUUUUCAUUUGAGCAGUUUCUGUAAUCGGUGGGAAAGGUUUCAGAGCAGGGGCGGGCGCCAGAUAAAGUUUUCAGAGGGAAGCUACUAUGAAAACAUAUUUUAUGUACGCCUGUUGCACAGACUUCACAUUUCUGCCACAUUUCUCCUCCUUCCCGGUUUCAUUCUUAGUGUCCCCUCUUACCCACUUCCCUCCUCCUCCUCCUCAAAUUGCCACUCCCUCAUGAUCCUAGUGCUUUACUGUUAUUGUCAAAGUAUAUGUAAUUUAAAUAACUGCAUAUUCUUCCCUUCCUCACCCAUCUCUUUCCUCGUUUCUUUCCCUGUAUCUACUGCAAGUCUCUUUGGUAAGGAUCUGUUAUACCACUUGUAUGUCAUGUAGUUGGAUAUUGCUAUAUAAAAUAGAAGGGGCAAAGGUACUACAUUAUAAUAGCUGAAUACUCAAAUGUGCCUCACUGCCCAAUGCUGUUUCUAGAUGUUCGGCCAUUUUACAACAGCUUCUGCUUGCAAGUUCAUUGGACAACCUUGAGCAAGACACUGUCAGGGACGAUGGAAGUUGUCGUCCAGCAACAUCUAGAAGGCCACAGGUUUUCCACCACUGAGCUACAGGCAAGGGAUCCAGUGUGUUAUCUGAGCUCUUUGGAAGAAGGGCUAGAUAAAAAUCAUAUGGGUUAAGCAGUAGAGUCAUGCACAGACAAGGAAGUGGAGCUGCAGACAUGUGGAGUGUUGGUACAUCUAUGUAUGUGAGGGGAUAUGUUGAGAUUUGCAUAUGGGCGACAAACCCACAUCAACAGUGGCUUCAUCCCACCAGGAACACACACAAAUCCAAACUACCAUGUGGCUCAUUCUCUAGCUGUUCACUGAAACAUAUUCUAAGCUGGGACAUUUUCCUAACUUGUUAUCGCACACUUGUGUCUGCCCCCGCCCCUUAAAAUGGUCCGUAGAUGUCUCACUGUGGAGUCAGACAAAUGUGUUAAGCGUCUAGAGGAGCUGGGAGCACUGUUAUACAGCGGCUCCGCUCCUUCCUCCGGGGCCGUGUCCAGAAAGUGGUGGGGGGAUGGGUGUUCAGACCCCUGGGCCCUCACUUGUGGGGUGCCUCGGGGUUCUGUCCUCUCCCCCAUGCUUUUUAACAUCUACAUGCAGCCACUGGGAGAGAUCAUCAGGGGGUUUGGGCUGGGUGUCCAUUAAUAUGCGGAUGAUACCCAGCUCUAUCUCUCUUUUAAAUUGGAACAAGUGAAGGCAGUGAAGGUCCUGUGUGAGUGCCUGGAGGCGGUUGGAGGAUGGAUCGCGGCUAAUGGAUUGAGGUUGAAUCCUGACAAGACACAAGUACUGUUCUUGGGGGACAGUGGGUGGGCUGAUGUGAGGACUCCCUGGUCCUGAAUAGGGUAACUGUGUCCCUGAAGGACCAGGUGCACAGCCUGGGAGUCAUUUUGGAUUCACAGCUGCCCAUGGAGGAGCAGGUCAAUUCUGUAUCCAGGGCAGCUGUCUACCAGCUCCAUCUCGUACACAGGCUGAGACCCUAUCUGCCCGCGGGCUGCCUCGCCAGAGUGGUGCAUGCUCUAGUUAACUCUCGCUUGGACUACUGCAACGCGUUCUAAGUGGGGCUACCUUUGAAGGUGACCCGGAAACUACAACUAAUCCAGAAUGCGGCAGCUACACUGGUGUCUGAGAGUGGCCGCCAGGACCAUAUAACACCGGUCCUGAAAGAUCUACGUUGGCUCCCAGUACGUUUCCGAGCACAAUUCAAAGUGUUGGUGCUGACCUUUAAAACCCUAAACGGCCGCGGCCCUGUAUACAUGAAGGAGCGUCUCCACCCCCAUCGUUCUGCCCGGGCACUGAGGUCCAGCGCAGAGGGCCUUCUGGUGGUUCCCUCACUGCGAGAAGCAAAGCUACAGGGAACCAGGCAGAGGGCUUUCUUGGUAGUGGCGCCCGCCCUGGGGAACGCCCUCCCAUCAGAUGUCAAAGAUAAACAUUUAGAAGACAUCUGAAGGCAGCCCUGUUCAGGGAAGUUUUUAAUGUGUGACAUUUUAAUGUAUUUUUAACCUUUGUUGGAAGCCACCCAGGGUGGCUGGGGAACAAAUUAUUAUUAUUAUUAUUAUUAUUAUUAUUAUUAUUAUUAUUUACUAGAGUUGUCAGCAUUUCUGACUUCAAGAGAUGGAGCACCCAACCCAGCAAGCUCUUUAAAAAACAACAACCAGGCAGUGACAGGAGAUGCCUGCUCCAAUUUAGAAGCAGAGGACAAAAUUACUGCAAGCAAAC